GUGUCAGCCGCCGCGGUAAUACGUAGGGGGCUAGCGUUGUCCGGAAUCAUUGGGCGUAAAGAGCGCGUAGGCGGCUGGAUUAGUCCGGUGUGAAAUCCACAGGCUUAACCUGUGAAUGCCGCUGGAAACUGUCUGGCUAGAGUCCGGAAGGGGCGAGUGGAAUUCCUGGUGUAGCGGUGAAAUGCGCAGAUAUCAGGAGGAACACCAAUGGCGAAGGCAGCUCGCUGGGACGGUACUGACGCUGAGGCGCGAAAGCGUGGGGAGCGAACAGGAUUAGAUACCCUCGUAGUCC
rnacentral:rRNA from 1 species